GAACUUAAUUAAACUAUGUGUCUCAAAUUAAAAAUAAAUAACAAAAGGUUUCAUCUUCAUCCAAUACAUGAGAAAAAUUAAUCUAACAAAAUAUUGGAAUCAAAUACAUAAAAGAAGAAGGGCGUCAACAAUAAAUUGACGGAACAUGAUUAAUUCCAAUUAUGCUCAAGUCGUUUUCUACGUGUAUCUUUGCAGUUACGUGAUUCCGUCUCUCUCUUUUUAUUCUAAUAAGCAACCGCCUUUUUGUUUUUGUCUAAUUUCCCACUUUGCAGCCACCGAAUUUCAUGUCUCUGUUGGUAUGAAUAUAUGUAUAUAUCGACCAGCCUCUCUCUUCUGUAAUCAGCCACCAAAGUGUAUAAAAUAAUUCUGCUUCCUCAAUUUUCCUAGCUGCUCAA
rnacentral:lncRNA from 1 species